AUUUAUUAUUUGAAUAUUUUCAGCGGUUUCAACUAUUUUUCUUAUUCAUAUGCCUGAUCGGGGCCUUCGCAAUGCCCGUCGAAGAGGAGUCCAGGAAUGCUCAGACACCUGAUAUUGAUAUCACAGCGUUAACUAUUAAACCCAUGUCUCGUAGCGCCGAAGAUAUGCGUAAAGCUGCUAAAGAUACCGUAAAGACUGGAGGCGAUAUGGUGGCAUCGGUUCUAGGAUGAUAGGAUUUGGCAAACUAAUGAAAAUUAUAUGCAGUGACGUGUGUGUGUUUAUUUAACGACCACGUAAUAAAAAGUGGCAAAUGAA